AUCACAAGUUCAGAUUCCAGGUGGAGUAUCCUAGCAAAAUGAUCACUUCUUAAGUAGAGUAGAAUGGUGGGAAUAGCAUCCUUCUUCUCAUGAGUCAGGGAAAUGUGCUUGUCCUGUCUGUUAGACAAUUUCCCAAUAAAAUAUCCCUGGCCCCAGAUUCCAUAUGGAAAGUCUUUAUUAAAAAGAAGCUUUUUGUUUUUCUCAUGUAGGCAUCAGCUUCUAUGAAUGAAGAUUUCGAUUCCCAAGAAGAUGAAGAUAUCAACAAGUGGCAUUUUAUUAAGAAGUGAUGGAAGUGGAUAGGGCCACAGACAAGUUCUCGCAACAGUUACUGCCUCUGUCAUGAAGCUUUGCUUUUUUUUAAAUGUCUCACAGUAAACCAUAUACAAAUAAACACUGGAUUCCCAAA